UGAACGCUGGCGGCGUGCCUCAUACAUGCACGUCGCGCGAACAGACGCGGAGCUUGCUCCUCUGACGUUAGCGGCGGACGGGUGAGUAACACGUGGAUAACCUACCUAUAAGACUGGGAUAACUUCGGGAAACCGGAGCUAAUACCGGAUAAUAUAUUGAACCGCAUGGUUCAAUAGUGAAAGACGGUUUUGCUGUCACUUAUAGAUGGAUCCGCGCCGCAUUAGCUAGUUGGUAAGGUAACGGCUUACCAAGGCAACGAUGCGUAGCCGACCUGAGAGGGUGAUCGGCCACACUGGAACUGAGACACGGUCCAGACUCCUACGGGAGGCAGCAGUAGGGAAUCUUCCGCAAUGGGCGAAAGCCUGACGGAGCAACGCCGCGUGAGUGAUGAAGGUCUUCGGAUCGUAAAACUCUGUUAUUAGGGAAGAACAAAUGUGUAAGUAACUAUGCACGUCUUGACGGUACCUAAUCAGAAAGCCACGGCUAACUACGUG
rnacentral:rRNA from 1 species